ACGCUUCUUUCCUCCCGAGUGCUUGCACUCAAUUGGAAAGAGGAGUGGCGGACGGGUGAGUAACACGUGGGUAACCUACCCAUCAGAGGGGGAUAACACUUGGAAACAGGUGCUAAUACCGCAUAACAGUUUAUGCCGCAUGGCAUAAGAGUGAAAGGCGCUUUCGGGUGUCGCUGAUGGAUGGACCCGCGGUGCAUUAGCUAGUUGGUGAGGUAACGGCUCACCAAGGCCACGAUGCAUAGCCGACCUGAGAGGG
rnacentral:rRNA from 1 species